rnacentral:ncRNA from 1 species
CAAAGGUUUGGUCCUGACUUUAUUAUCAACUUUAGCUAAACUUACACAUGCAAGUAUCCGCACUCCUGUGAGAAUGCCCUAGUUUCCUGCUUGGUAACAAGGAGCUGGUAUCAGGCACAACUCACCCUCAAGCCCAUGACACCUUGCUUAGCCACACCCUCAAGGGAAUUCAGCAGUGAUAAACAUUAAGCCAUAAGUGAAAACUUGACUUAGUCAAAGCUAAGAGGGCCGGUAAAACUCGUGCCAGCCACCGCGGUUAUACGAGAGGCCCAAGUUUGAUAAGCAUCGGCGUAAGGAGUGGUUAAGACAAAUCAAAUACUAAAGCCGAAUACCCUCACAGCUGUCAUACGCAACACGAAGGUUAGAAGUUCAACUACGAAAGUGGCUUUACAAUAUCUGAACCCACGAAAGCUACGGUACAAACUGGGAUUAGAUACCCCAUUAUGCCUAGCCCUAAAUAUUGAUAGAAAAUUACACCCACUAUCCGCCCGGGUACUACGAGCAUCAGCUUAAAACCCAAAGGACUUGGCGGUGCUUUAGAUCCACCUAGAGGAGCCUGUUCUAGAACCGAUAACCCCCGUUUAACCUCACCCUUCCUUGUUUACCCCGCCUAUAUACCACCGUCGUCAGCUUACCCUAUGAAGGCCUAACAGUAAGCAGAAUUGGCACACCCCAAAACGUCAGGUCGAGGUGUAGCGCAUGGAGGGGGAAGAAAUGGGCUACAUUCACUACGCCAGUGAACACGGAUAGUGCAUUGAAAUAUGCACUUGAAGGAGGAUUUAGCAGUAAGUAGAAAGCAGAGUGUUCCACUGAAAAUGGCCCUGAAGCGCGCACACACCGCCCGUCACUCUCCCCGAGCUCCCCCAAACCCCAUUAACUAAGACCAGCACUCGCAAUUAGGGGAGGCAAGUCGUAACAUGGUAAGUGUACCGGAAGGUGUACUUGGAAUAUA